GCGGCGAUGAAGGACGUGGUAAGCUGCGAUAAGCUUUGGGUAGGUGCAUACAACCUUUAAUCCAAAGAUCUCCGAAUGGGACAACCUAAUGCAUUGAAGAUGCAUUACUCGAGUAAUCGAGAGCCAACCUUCUGAACUGAAACAUCUAAGUAGGAAGAGGAAAAGAAAAUAACUAAUGAUUCCCCAAGUAGUGGCGAGCGAACAGGGAAGAGCCCAAACCAGAGGAGCGUGCUCCUUCGGGGUUGUAGGACUG
rnacentral:rRNA from 14 species